rnacentral:rRNA from 1 species
GAUGAACGCUGGCGGCGUGCCUAAUACAUGCAAGUCGAGCGAACGGACGAGAAGCUUGCUUCUCUGAUGUUAGCGGCGGACGGGUGAGUAACACGUGGAUAACCUACCUAUAAGACUGGGAUAACUUCGGGAAACCGGAGCUAAUACCGGAUAAUAUUUUGAACCGCAUGGUUCAAAAGUGAAAGACGGUCUUGCUGUCACUUAUAGAUGGAUCCGCGCUGCAUUAGCUAGUCGGUAAGGUAACGGCUUACCAAGGCAACGAUGCAUAGCCGACCUGAGAGGGUGAUCGGCCACACUGGAACUGAGACACGGUCCAGACGCCUACGGGAGGCAGCAGUAGGGAAUCUUCCGCAAUGGGCGAAAGCCUGACGGAGCAACGCCGCGUGAGUGAUGAAGGUCUUCGGAUCGUAAAACUCUGUUAUUAGGGAAGAACAUAUGUGUAAGUAACUGUGCACAUCUUGACGGUACCUAAUCAGAAAGCCACGGCUAACUACGUG